rnacentral:lncRNA from 1 species
CUCCAACACCUCUCUCUCCCACAUUUCUUGCUUUGCUCCUCUGGUGUGUUGGGCACGGCUGAGCUCGAGACAACAGCGCAUUGUGGACCAAAGCUUGCUUCUCCAACAUGCUAGCUUGGGCUCUUCACAUCCUGGGUCAUGCAGAGUUCAGAUGGAGAAGGACCUUACAUCAGCUCUGGUGAACCACUGGCGGAAUGAUCAGCCAAUUACCAUUGAAAAUUUCCAACAGACAAUUAUGAGAAGGGAAGAGCGAGACAAAAAGCAGAAAAGAGGCCAGUCAUCAGAUAACCGCACUGUUGGAUGUGUCUCUCUCUAUCAGAGCUCACCAGUGUGGAAGACAGACUUGACUGGUUUUUCACCGCAAGAGAACUUUAAACUGGGAACAUCCUGUUUGCUGCGAACAGCAACUACAAAUGACAUAAUUACACUAAGCCAAUGCAAAUCACUCAUUGUAUUACUGUCCCUAAGAUUCCCUUGCAGUACAACAAAUUUUGCCUAAACACAGCACAAAUACUACACUUCUGUGGCUAAGAGCUGCAUAUCGUGUGUGUGUGUGUGUGUGUGUGUGUGAAUGAGUCUCUUGUACAGUAUGUCCCAGUUGCUCUCCAGCAGAAAACCAGUACUACAUACAUCUAAAUAAAGCCAUAAUGUGCUAAUUUUACCCAGCCUACAAAGAUUACGUUUUCCAAUAUGCCCAAUUAGUGCAAAACACCUGACCCUCCACCCCUCUAUAAUGAAUUGUCAGCUAAUCUAUCCCAUCCCCUGGACAUUAGUUGUCUGGAAGCAUAAGCUAAUAUGAGCAGUAUAGCCUCAUUUUCCAGAUCUGUGCUCGCACCGCACGCCUCUCACUUAACGCUCCAAGUCAGAUGUGCCAUGAGCCACAGCUUUAAUAUAUCAUGCAAAAUUAGGUCAAUAUUAAUAAAGCACAGAUCCAAAUGAAUGCUCCACAUAUGCUGUGAGGAUGGAGGUUUUAAUAGAGGAAAGGUGUGUGAAAUAAAAUGAGCGUCUUCUGAACUGGAAAACGAAGGCUGUUUGUAGCAACAGAAUGACUGGAGAGCAAAGUAAGAGAGGAGGAAAAAAGGGAAGGAUAGAUACAAAGUUGAAAAUCCUCCAUAAAUCAUGACGUUUUACCUCAAACCAGUCCGCACAUGAAAAAUGUGAGUUUACGGGAAUAACUCUGACUGUGAACAAUGCAGCAGUGUGUUUGAGUGGGAGUGUGUUUGUGUGGCAGGUCUGGAAGCACUUUGCGUCCAGCUUUUCUUUUGUCUUAGUCUGGACAACUGUCCUUUGAAAUCUGCUCGCGUGAUCAUAAAUUCAAAGUGCUCUGGGAUGACGAUCUUGUCAACACACUCUCAUAAGGAAACAUCACUCUAGACACUUAUCAUUCUUGUGCUGUACUCAGCAUUCGCC